rnacentral:tmRNA from 1 species
GGGGAUGACAGGCUUCGACGGAUGAGGCUGGCAUCGGAUUGCAAGCCGGGAGGCUCCGACCCCGUAAAAUCAGAGCACAAGCUUAAGUGCCAACCGCACCAAUGCUUACGCGGCUCUCCCGCUCGCGGCCUAAUCUCCGCAAGUUAAGAGCCUGACCCUGUAAACCAGGGUCCGUCUGCCCCGAGCGCCUCCGACCGCGCGGGCCCCAGGCGACACAAAAGCCGGAGUGCCACCGGGUAAUUUCUCUAGCCUGGUGAAAGAGGGGUCUUUGGACUCCAGAGGAGCGGCGGUUGCCCAACCCUGUCUGCCGGGGAGCAACUGCUAAGGCUAAAAUAGGCGGGCUAAGCUUGUAGAUAUCUGCUGUCGAGUCAUUCGGACGCGGGUUCGACUCCCGCCAUCUCCACCA